rnacentral:rRNA from 1 species
AUCGAACGCUGGCGGCAUGCUUAACACAUGCAAGUCGAACGGUAACAGGCCUUCGGGCGCUGACGAGUGGCGAACGGGUGAGUAAUGCAUCGGAACGUGCCCAGUAGUGGGGGAUAACUAUCCGAAAGGAUAGCUAAUACCGCAUACGGUCUGCGGAUGAAAGAGGGGGACCUUCGGGCCUCGCGCGAUUGGAGCGGCCGAUGUCAGAUUAGGUAGUGGGUGGGGUAUAGGCUCACCAAGCCAACACUCGGUAGAUGGUCUGAGAGGACGACCGGCCACACUGGAAGAGAGACAAGGCCCAGACUCCGACGGGAGGCAGCAGUGGGGAAUUUUAGACAAUGGGCGCAAGCGUGAUCCAGCAAUGCCGCGUGCAGGGAGAAGGCCUUCGGGUUGUAAACUGCUUUUGUACGGAACGAAACGGCUCUGGUUAAUACCCGGGGCUAAUGACGGUACCGUAAGAAUAAGCACCGGCUAACUACGUGCCAGCCGCCGCGGUAAGAC